AACGUAGGAGGCGAGCGUUAUCCGGAUUUACUGGGCGUAAAGCGCGUGCAGGCGGUUUGGUAAGUUGGAUGUGAAAGCUCCUGGCUUAACUGGGAGAGGUCGUUCAAUACUGCCAGACUUGAGGAUGGUAGAGGGAGAUGGAAUUCCGGGUGUAGUGGUGAAAUGCGUAGAUAUCCGGAGGAACACCAGUGGCGAAAGCGGUCUCCUGGACCACUUCUGACGCUCAGACGCGAAAGCUAGGGUAGCAAACGGGAUUAGAGACCCCGGUAGUCCUAGCUGUAAACGAUGUAGACUUGGCGUCGGCGGGUUUAAAUCCGUCGGUGUCGAAGCUAACGCGAUAAGUCUACCGCCUGGGGACUACGGCCGCAAGGUUAAA
rnacentral:rRNA from 1 species